GUUCGCGUAGCUUACCCAAAGCAUAACUCUGAAGCUGUUAAGACGGGCCCUGAAAAGCCCCGCAAGCA
rnacentral:tRNA from 1 species